rnacentral:rRNA from 1 species
UACGGGGGGAGCAAGCGUUGUUCGGAUUUACUGGGCGUAAAGGGCUCGUAGGUGGCCAACUAAGUCAGACGUGAAAUCCCCCGGCUUAACCGGGGAACUGCGUCUGAUACUGGAUGGCUUGAGUUCGGGAGAGGGAUGCGGAAUUCCAGGUGUAGCGGUGAAAUGCGUAGAUAUCUGGAGGAACACCGGUGGCGAAGGCGGCAUCCUGGACCGACACUGACGCUGAGGAGCGAAAGCCAGGGGAGCGAACGGG